rnacentral:snRNA from 1 species
GUGCUCACUUUGGCAGCACAUAUACUAAAAUUGGAAUGAUACAGAGAAGAUUAGCAUGGCCCCUGCACAAGGAUGACACACAAAUGCAUGAAGCGUUCCAUUUUUUU